rnacentral:rRNA from 1 species
UACAGAGGUGGCAAGCGUUGUUCGGAUUUACUGGGCGUAAAGGGUGCGUAGGCGGUUCUGUGUGUCGGGUGUGAAAUCCCACGGAUUAUCCGUGGAACGGCAUUCGAAACUACAGGGCUAGAGUGCGGGAGAGGAAGGUAGAAUUCUCGGUGUAGCGGUGAAAUGCGUUGAUAUCGAGAGGAAUGCCGGUGGUGAAGACGACCUUCUGGAACGCAACUGACGCUGAGGCACGAAAGCUAGGGGAGCAAACAGG